GCUCUCACACUGUUGCAGGACUUCUCCUUAGUUCAGCUAAAGAUGGAGUCCUUAUCACACAGGCACGAAAAUUGAGGCUUGCAGACAAUUGAAGAGUGAGAAAAACGGGGUUUAUUGGGCAAAAAGAAAAAAAUGGGAAAGAGAGACUUUUAGCAAAGCAAGAGAGUGUUCUUCCUGCCUGUGGGCUUCCCGCCUCGCAGAUUGAAUUCCAGGUUCCACACAGGAAGAGGAGGGGCCAAGCUCCUCCCCUCCGCAAACUGCGUGAACUACUAUGGCUCCGCUCCAGUACGCAGAUAAUGUCACUUGUCAACUGAGGAAUGACAAGGUUCAUAAACCUAGAAAGAAGAGCUUUCUUCUCAUAAAGGGCUGCAGCCUGCAGGGCAGCCAUUGUGACAGGCUGAGAAGCAGAGCCUCCAGCCAGAAGCCAGAAACAGACCCUUCCAGGGGCAGAAGAACAAGACAGGAAUUUAUGCUGAAUGAGGUAUUUGCUGCUCAGAAUUGGCAAAUAGAGGAAUAAACUCUGUUACCAAAUUCCUUAAUUUCAGGAGAACCCAUGAAAGGAGUAUCAUCCAAUCAGGUCAACUCUCUUUGGUUUCCUAAUGUCUAAACAUUUCACAAUUUAUGGAAUUAUGAAAGGAUCCAGCUCCCCAGAGGAUGUGAGCACAUCUGAACACAAUUAUGCACUGCAGCCAGACAACUGUUAGCUUUCUGGGGCAAAAGACACAGAGAAAGACCAGGAUAAUCCUUGUGCGUGCAGCUCAGAUUUGGCCCCUGUCGCCACACGCUGCCAAGCCUGUCACAUUCUGGCAAUAAGGAGCAAUGCUUGGAUGGGGACCAGGACCAUGCUGACAUCUGACCACCUCUGCAGUCUGGGCGAAUUCCAAGAAAUCCCUCAGAAGAAAGUGCCAUGCAGAAAUAUCCUGGCGGGGGAACUGCCCACACAGCUGUGCCAGUUAUUCACCCUCGCCAGAUUCUUCAUGCUCUUUCCCACUUCAAGGCCCUUGCAUUAGCUGUUCUCCCUGACCAUGCACUUGACUCUCAAGAACAUUUAGCCUCCCCCAAGACUCCAUCUUCAGGCCUCCUUCCCUCACCAUCUCCAAGGCUGCGGCUCCAGGACACAAGCUGACCACCCUGCCCAACCCGAAGUCCUCGACUGAUGCUCAGCGCUUAUAGGUUCAAGUCCAGGCUCCCUAGCAUAGCACUGAAGUCAUGGCUCAGUUUACCCUUCCAAGCCUGUCUCCCCCAAGUCCUGCCCUCCUCCUCUCAUCACUGCCAAGUACAUCAAGCACUCCCACGUGGCUGGGCUUUAACCCAAGCUGCUCUCUCUUCCCAGAAGGCUCUUCUCUGACUUGCUGCCAAAACACAAAGUCGCUUGGAGGUGAAGGCAAAUAUUAGUUCAGCUGGCAAGCUCCUCUCCACGUCCUCAUCAAAGCCCCCAGCUCCAUGAGCUUCUGGGCUGUUCCUGUGGAUUUCUGCACUCUCUGUGUUGAAACAUCUGUAAUGGGUUAUAGCUGGGAGUUGGAAUGUCUGCCUCCCUUUUCGCUGAGAAGAAGGGGGUCUUUACAGGAUCGAACGCUCCCUGGGUUCUGUCUCCUUCCUUUCAAUAUAGUGAGCAGUUCCUCCCACCUAGUGGGUUCUCCUUAGAUGUCUGGGAGGUCAUCUAUCCAGUGCUGGCUGUUGCAGAUCUGUGCAGUUGCUUUUUGAACAGGACCCACAUCCGUCUUCCAAAAUAUCUAAAAUUAGGUCUUUGACAGUUCCUGAAAAUGUUAGUUAUCAUAUAAUCCAGCAACUCCACUCCAAGGUAUAUAGCCAAAAGAAUUGAAAUCAUAUUCCACACAAAAAU
rnacentral:lncRNA from 1 species